CGCUCACAGAAUAAAAUUGGUGGGGGAGUUGAGAUGGUAAUUACACGGUAAGGUGAGAUAAAGUAAAUAUUUGAAAGGUGAUUCAUUUCCAGCAUAGCUGAGUGAUGCGCGAGCAUUCCUCUGGGAGAGCGUCAGCUUGGGAAAUAUUUACCUUCUCCCAUCAGGUGGAUUUGUGGGCACCGUGCACAGUAAAUGUUGAGUAAAGUAACACAGCGCUGCUUAGCAGAAGGCCAUCACGUGCCACCUCUCCCGCUUGCACCACCGCUGUUGACAGAGCGUAUUUAGAGCACGCAAGGAAGGACUUUGACCUCAAACAACUGUUAAAAAGGAAAAAGGAGGAACUUUGCCGCGACCAGCGACAUUUCCCUGGAUUCCUUCUGGCCUUGCCAAGAGCAGAAUCUGUUGUAAACUCUGCAGGAAACAGCGUUUUCCUUAUCUUGCAGAAGAUGUUUGCUCUAAUUGCCAUCUUCCUGCGGCCGAGGGGCGGUCGCUGGGGAACGGCGGGGCUCGGGCUCGGGGCUGGCCGGAGCAAAAGGCAUUUUUUGGAGGCCCUACAGACACAGCAGCAGCUCCCCAGGGCAGCUCCUCCUGCCGCAGCCGCUGCCCGCCUCUCUGUGGCACGGGAUGCUAAAGAUCUUGCUCACAGCUGCAGAAACACACCUUUUCUGUUGUCUGCGCUCCACGAUCUGGACCAGGAGCCUUCCGAUUCUUCAGGGAAUCAUCGAAGCCCAGAGAAAGGGGCACGGAAAGCAGGCAGGCGAGAUGCUGCUGCAUUGCACUGGGCGGUGCUUUGGUGUGAUGGAGCUGGAGAAGCGCGUUAUCUGCUCCUGAGGCCCCGGGACGGCGAGGCGGGUGCAGCCAAGUUGAUGCUGUUUUGUUAACUGCAGGCGAGACGUGCCCCUUGUUUCAGACGGUCGUCAGAGCAGGGCCCUUUGCUCCCCAGAUCGCUCCCUGGCCCCUCAAAAUCAAUGCGAGAAUUAUUUUCUUCUUUGCAGGAGGAGAUUUACAGCGUUUCUCAUCCCUGAGUUUCCCAUGUUCCCCUAAUUAAUGCAGCUAACGGAAGCUGUACGGCCCAUUGGCCAGCUUUUCUGUUCCCGGAGAAGUGCCUGACCUGUGAAUUGUUGCUUGACUGACACGCUGCUCCUCCUGCGAAGGAGUAGCAAGUCUCUCCAUGUUUUAAGAGGUCUGGAGAUCUUCACACGCGAGCACUGUCGGGGGGUGCCAUGGCUUUUUGUCGUGUAAUACAACCACCAGCUCUCCAGACUGCCCUGGGAAGAAAGAUUUCAUCUCUCCUUCCACCUUCCUUUCAUCCAAGAAGAGGAAGGAGGGCAGGAGGCCAGCCGAGCCCCUCCGCGCGGGUCUGGGCUGGUGAGCAGGCUCACAGCCCUGCAGCGUGAUGCUCGAGCCCCGGCUACGCUGCGGCUGGGAGGACACCUCAUUUUUGUCACCCCUAAAGAAACGGCCAGUUUAUUCCAUCUGGAAAGCUUCGGACAGUUUCAAGGCCUUUCUCUUUGCCAACGAUCCCUUUAAAAGGCCCAGAAACGGGGCGACCCAAGCGCGUGGUGCCAGCGGCAAUCCAAAGCACCCGCGUAACAACACUUCGUGCGCUCGCUUUUCAUCUUGGCUGGCCGAGCCGCUCUAAACAUCCCGAAGCCCGGAGCCUUCAAGUUACUCAUCGUAGCCUGCAGGCUUGAAAAAGGCGCUGAUUAUCUGUCUGGCGCUGUGACCCGUGCUCUCCGCCUGCUGGAGGAGCGACCCCUUGGUUUAUGCUGUCGAUAUCCAGAAUAAGGAAGUUUGUGGUCUUGCAGCUUGGGGAUUAUCGCUCUGAGAUCCUGGGAUGUGGGGCUGGGAGCAGAGCCGGGGAACGCCGCCUUCUCGAGGCACGCAAAUGUGGGUUCCCAGCGCUCCCGGUACCAGCUGCGAUGCGAAUCACUUGGAUGUUAAAGUGCUGUUGACAAAAUUGUUCCCAGCGGCACGGACGCACAGAUGCACCUCUCCCUUCCUGCUGAAAUUCAAGAGCCUUUCCUGAGCCUUGGAGAAAAAGCAAGAGGAGGUGGUGUGCUGCCAGCUGGCACCCAGAAGAACUGACCACCAAAGCCCUGGGGAAGGAGAAGUGCUGGGGUGGGAGAUCAGGGGUGGCUCCAGGAUGGCUCCAAGGAUGCAGGUGGAGAUGCAGGAGCGGAGGAGGCCUUGCCGGGACACCCCGUUGGGGACCUGCCCUCGUGCCGGCUCGGUUUGCAGGUUGGAUAUCUCUUGCCAGAAGCCAAAUUAGAUUCCAGUGCAUCGUCCUGAGUCCCUGGUGUUUGUGCUGGGGCCUGGGGCAGGGGUGCCUCCGCUCCCGGGAUGUCUCUGCACUUGCCUUGGAUGCCACGAUUUUGCCAGGUCUGCUGUGGUUAUUCUGUCGCCCCAGCACCACGACGGUGCCUGUGUUACCGGCUGCAGGAGCUGAGGUGGCUGGCAGGGAUGCGGUCGCUGCAUCAGCAGGACCCCAGGAGUGCUGGUCUGGUCCUGCUCCCAACCAGGCAUCUCUGCGGGGCCACGGACCAGUCACAGAGCAUGCACUGGAGUCCCAGUACGGCUGCGGGCACCCCACGUGUGUCCAACGUGUGUGUGCAAUGCAUGCACCCAACGGGGAGCCCAGCACGUGCCUAC